CCGUGCUCAGCCCGCCGACGUUCGUCAGAAACCUGCCGUGGAAGAUUAUGUGCAAGUUGGAAACGUCGCUUAACGAGGAGUGCCAGAUUACGAAGAGCCUGGGAUUUUACUUGCAGUGCAACGCGAAGUCCAAGUCGACGUCUUGGUCGUGCAAUGCGUCUGCAGAGCUGCGGUUGAUAAACAAUGCAGACACAGAGAAAACAUUACAAA